rnacentral:lncRNA from 1 species
ACUUCCCAGGAUUUAGCAACCAGGGCCUGGAAGGCAGACAAAGGUAACUGGCCCCAUGUGAUAAAAACAGGCCCGGGAGCAUCUUCAUUAAGGCAGGCAGUUUUGGGCCACCCGAUCAUGACCAUGGAUCUACGUGCUGGAACUUGAAAGUAUGUCCACGCUCAAGAUUUCUGUCUCUUCUAAAGCAAGAAAGGACUGGUUUUGCAUGCCCUGCCUAUGCACAUCUUUAUGAAAAUGUAACCUUUUCACUCACUUUCUGAACUCCACAAAAGAGUCAGCUUUCUC